ACAGUCAUAUCAUAUUAAAACAUCAGUUCUCGUAUGAACCGUGAAAUUAAGCGAGGUUGAACCUGGCCAGUACUUAGAUGGGUGACCGCUUUGGAAUACCAGGUACUGUAAG